rnacentral:rRNA from 1 species
UCCAGACUCCUACGGGAGGCAGCAGUGGGGAAUAUUGCACAAUGGGGGAAACCCUGAUGCAGCAACGCCGCGUGGGUGAAGGAGCGUUUCGGCGCGUAAAGCCCUGUCAGCGGGGAAGAAGAAAGACGGUACCCGACCAAGAAGCCCCGGCUAACUACGUGCCAGCAGCCGCGGUAAUACGUAGGGGGCGAGCGUUAUCCGGAUUUACUGGGUGUAAAGGGCGUGUAGGCGGGAAAGCAAGUCAGAUGUGAAAACCAUGGGCUCAACCUGUGGCCUGCAUUUGAAACUGUUUUUCUUGAGUACUGGAGAGGCAGACGGAAUUCCUAGUGUAGCGGUGAAAUGCGUAGAUAUUAGGAGGAACACCAGUGGCGAAGGCGGUCUGCUGGACAGCAACUGACGCUGAGGCGCGAAAGCGUGGGGAGCAAACAGGAUUAGAUACCCGCGUAU